UAGGGAAUCUUCGGCAAUGGGGGGAACCCUGCCCGAGCAACGCCGCGUGAGUGAAGAAGGUUUUCGGAUCGUAAAGCUCUGUUGUUAAGGAAGAACGAGUGUGAGAAUGGAAAGUUCAUGCUGUGACGGUACUUAACCAGAAAGGGCCGGCUAACUACGUGCCAGCAGCCGCGGUAAUACGUAGGUCCCGAGCGUUGUCCGGAUUUAUUGGGCGUAAAGCGAGCGCAGGCGGUUAGAAAAGUCUGAAGUGAAAGGCAGUGGCUCAACCAUUGUAGGCUUUGGAAACUGUUUAACUUGAGUGCAGAAGGGGAGGGUGGAAUUCCAUGUGUAGCGGUGAAAGGCGUAGAUAUAGGGAGGAACACCGGUGGCGAAAGCGGCUCUCUGGUCUGUAACUGACGCUGAGGCUCGAAAGCGUGGGGAGCGAACAGG
rnacentral:rRNA from 1 species